GUGAACGCUGGCGGUAGGCCUAACACAUGCAAGUCGAACGGCAGCACAGUAAGAGCUUGCUCUUACGGGUGGCGAGUGGCGGACGGGUGAGGAAUACAUCGGAAUCUACUUUUUCGUGGGGGAUAACGUAGGGAAACUUACGCUAAUACCGCAUACGACCUACGGGUGAAAGCAGGGGAUCUUCGGACCUUGCGCGAUUGAAUGAGCCGAUGUCGGAUUAGCUAGUUGGCGGGGUAAAGGCCCACCAGGCGACGAUCCGUAGCUGGUCUGAGAGGAUGAUCAGCCACACUGGAACUGAGACACGGUCCAGACUCCUACGGGAGGCAGCAGUGGGGAAUAUUGGACAAUGGGCGCAAGCCUGAUCCAGCCAUACCGCGUGGGUGAAGAAGGCCUUCGGGUUGUAAAGCCCUUUUGUUGGGAAAGAAAAGCAGCAGGUUAAUACCCCGCUGUUCUGACGGUACCCAAAGAAUAAGCACCGGCUAACUUCGUG
rnacentral:rRNA from 1 species